GAGGAACACGAAUAGGGACUGCAGGAACGGCAUGAACUCCAGCCCUCUUCGACCAACCUCUGCACAAGCACAACCACACGCAUGUCUCAUGAUUCAGUAGUCAGCGCGUACACCAAACUGUUGACUGUGGAUUUCAGAAAUGUGUGUGUGCGUACCAUGAAGACGGCGAUCCGUGAAGCUGAUCGUGACGUUGACGCAGGGCACGGCGAUGGCGCCAUGCCGCGGUGCCGCCGCCGAGGACGACGAGGGAGAGGACCAGGACCCCCGCUCGCAGUCGGUGGUGGCGACCAGGAACAUACAAAGAGUACAAGAACAAACAAAGCUCAUGGUUACACUUAAUUCACAUUUUCUAACUCUCUUUUUACAUGUA
rnacentral:lncRNA from 1 species